rnacentral:rRNA from 1 species
AGGCGGACGGGUUAGUAACGCGCUGGGAACGUGCCCUUCUCUACGGAAUAGCCUCUGUAAACGGAGAGUAAUACCGUAUACGCCCUUUGGGGGAAAGAUUUAUCGGAGAAGGAUCGGCCCGCGUUAGAUUAGGUAGUUGGUGGGGUAACGGCCUACCAAGCCUACGAUCUAUAGCUGGUUUUAGAGGAUGAUCAGCAACACUGGGACUGAGACACGGCCCAGACUCCUACGGGAGGCAGCAGUGGGGAAUCUUAGACAAUGGGGGCAACCCUGAUCUAGCCAUGCCGCGUGAGUGAUGAAGGCCUUAGGGUCGUAAAGCUCUUUCGCCUGUGAUGAUAAUGACAGUAGCAGGUAAAGAAACCCCGGCUAACUCCGUGCCAGCAGCCGCGGUAAUACGGAGGGGGUUAGCGUUGUUCGGAAUUACCGGGCGUAAAGCGCGCGUAGGCGGAUUAGAAAGUUGGGGGUGAAAUCCCGGGGCUCAACCCCGGAACUGCCUCCAAAACUGCUAGUCUAGAGUUCGAGAGAGGUGAGUGGAAUUCCGAGUGUAGAGGUGAAAUUCGUAGAUAUUCGGAGGAACACCAGUGGCGAAGGCGGCUCACUGGCUCGAUACUGACGCUGAGGUGCGAAAGUGUGGGGAGCAAACAGGAUUAGAUACCCUGGUAG